rnacentral:rRNA from 2 species
UUCGGUGGUCAUAGCGUGAGGGAAACGCCCGGUUACAUUCCGAACCCGGAAGCUAAGCCUUACAGCGCCGAUGGUACUGCAGGGGGGACCCUGUGGG